rnacentral:lncRNA from 1 species
CUUCAUUCUGACAUUGACUCUGGUGAUGGGAACAUUAAAUACAUUCUCUCAGGUGAAGGAGCAGGAACCAUUUUUGUGAUUGAUGACAAAUCAGGGAACAUUCACGCCACCAAGACACUGGACCGAGAGGAGAGAGCCCAGUAUACACUGAUGGCUCAGGCGGUGGACAGGGACACCAACAGGCCAUUGGAACCACCUUCAGAAUUUAUCGUUAAGGUCCAGGACAUUAAUGACAACCCUCCAGAGUUUCUGCAUGAAACCUAUCAUGCCAAUGUGCCUGAGAGGUCCAAUGUGGGUACGUAAGUAAUGGACAACUGGUCUACUGCUAUCUGGUGUUUCUGCAGGUUAACAGGCCAAUGCCUGCCCUCCAACCCAGGAACUGGAGCUUGUGUUGCAUCUUUAUUGCACAUUAGCAAGGAAAAAAACACCUUGAUUGAUGUUUUAAAAUUAAAAUUUUUCCUUACACAAUA